rnacentral:rRNA from 1 species
CAGUCGCCGCGGUAAUACGUAGGGUGCGAGCGUUAAUCGGAAUUACUGGGCGUAAAGCGUGCGCAGGCGGUUAUAUAAGACAGAUGUGAAAUCCCCGGGCUCAACCUGGGACCUGCAUUUGUGACUGUAUAGCUAGAGUACGGUAGAGGGGGAUGGAAUUCCGCGUGUAGCAGUGAAAUGCGUAGAUAUGCGGAGGAACACCGAUGGCGAAGGCAAUCCCCUGGACCUGUACUGACGCUCAUGCACGAAAGCGUGGGGAGCAAACAGGAUUAGAUACCCGCGUAGUCCCUGUCUCUUAUAA